GGGACAAAGAGGACUCCAAGGACCACAUGGUUUCAAGGGAAGCUUAGGACUACCAGGUCCAAAGGGAGAGCCCGGCCCAGAGGGUAAAGAAGGUCCUCGUGGACUCAUCGGACUCCCAGGGAUUGCAGGAGAGACGGGAUCGUCGGGGGACCAGGGAUCACCUGGUAGAGACGGUCUGAAAGGAAACAAGG